GCUGUUUCCCGCCCUGGUCUCGGGCGCGGCUCUCUUCCACGACCUCGAAUCCCUUUCUACGAUCUCGACGCCGGUCGGCGGAUCCGCCUCGUCGGAGAGCAGGGGCCGAAAGGAUGCGCGGCCGAGGGCGGUGGGGAGGGCCAUGGAGCUCGCCUACGCUGCCGUCGCCUAAAACCGCCCACCUUUUCCCUCCUCUCCUCUCUCCACUGAAGGCAUUCCAUGUGAAGCUUCUGUUACCGAAGAUGGCGAUUCAGCAUAGUUUCUCGAAUUGGGAUCAAAUAUUUGCAAUCAAUGAUAUUGCUGGGUGCACACGAACUUCAAGCUGGUGUUCUGCUGCUGUCUGGUUACAUCAAUGCGAUACACAACUCUUGAGGUGGGCCUCUGAUGAUUUGUGGAAUAUGCACAAGAAUGGACUCUGAAUGGUUUGGUCCUGCUGAUUUUGCUAUGUACCAAUCGACAACUGAAACAACACAGGACUAUUGACCGAACGAACAUACAUCCUGAUCAAUAGGUGAGCGUCAUGUCUCUUUCUAACUCUAUUACCUAGUACCUCUGCAGGCAUCCAAGUUCUCAGGGGAAAUCAUUCUCCCAGUGGCCUCGUGAGAAGUUAUCUUGGACUAAUUAGAGGAUGCUGGUGGACCUUCGUUUGGGUCGAAACCUGCUUGCAAGGGUAGUCCUUACAAGAUUUGGUAAUUCUGCAAUCUUUCUCUUAUUUGGAAGUCUAGUUGAAAGGGAAAGGAUUUGAAAGCAUGUUAGUUUUAUAGUACCAAAUUGGGAGGGCAUUUAUUGAGUUAUUCCCAAGGACAUUAGAUGUUCUGAAUUGAACAUCCUUUAUCAGUGGAAGCGAUGAGGAUGAGACUUGGUACAACGAUGAAGUUGCUCCUUUGUGACCUAAAAAAUCAGGGUUCGAGUUACAAAAAUAAUUUUUUUAAAUAUUUAAAGAUAAGACUCUGUAUAUUGUCCCUUCUUGGAUCUUGUAUUGGUGGGAGUCUCAUGCAUUGGGCAUGCCUUUUUAUUAGUGAAAAUGAUCAGACCCUGUGAUUAACAAGCCAAAGUUGCUGCUGAAACUUUGAUUGUUUCUUUCAUGGUGUUCGUUAUUUUAUCCAUUGAUUAUCUCUUUUACAUGGGAAAAGUGGUAGGACCUAUAGUCAAAUGCAAGUUGACUAGCCAUUGAUGUGCUAAAACGUCAGGGAGCAAUAUGGGUUGCAUUACCACAGUAUAUUGCUUGGAAAUGAGUGGUCCACUGGUGUGACCGAAAAAUCUGCACUAUAUGUUUUGAGUUGGGAUACCAUCAACCCCUGUAUGCCUCAACUCUUAUUAGUUGUUUUGGGUUGGUUAGAUUAAUUGAAAUGAAAUGAAAUCAUUAUUAGUUGCAUGAGAAGAAUCACAAGCUCUUUUGCAGGUCACUUUGUUCAAUCUAAUUAGUUCUUACUAUGAGUUUGGCAACUGAACAACUAACAUGGAUUUGUUGCACUUGUAUUUAGUACUGGCACAUUGUUUCUGAUUGUUGAUCAGCAUUUUCUAUUUCAAGGAGGAGAUGGAUCUUAAGAAUUGAUCACCUUCUUGCAAAGUAGUUACAUGCCAUCAAUGGGGAACUAAACUGGACGAACUCCUUAUUUGCUGUCUUAUUUACGAGGAGUCUUGGGGCUCAUUUUUCAUGUUCUUAUCUUGGUUAUUUGUUCUAACCACAUGAGCUUGUAUCCUGUCUUUGCAGCGACCCAUUGUCUCAAAUUGAAUCAAAAUUUGAAGGUAAUUUCAAUUUUGAAGGUAAUUUCAUCAUUACAUCGUCAGGUAUCAAUCAUCCUCUUUGGUUCACUACGCACUAAACACCAUUAGUGAUGAUCUCGUGACUGAUUAAAGUGAAGGUAUCUUAAUUGUUUAAAGUUAUGAAUUAUGAUAGUGGCAUCAUUGGAUUCUCAGAAUGUGGAAUGCUAUGAGGAUGGUGGUAAAGCCAAACAGUAGGAUGUUAGCAUUCAGGCUUUCUUUCGAAUAUUGGCCUCCUUUCCGCCCACAUCCCAAUAGCAGCUGUCUCCCCUCUAUCUGCUAUGUGUGCAGGAAUGCUCAUGAAAUAUGCUUUUAAAAAGUUUUAAAGUUAUGAUGUAUAGUUUUGGCCUA